UAGUAAUCGCGCAUCAGCCAUGGCGCGGUGAAUACGUUCCCGGGCCUUGUACACACCGCCCGUCAAGCCAUGGAAGCCGGGGGUGCCUGAAGUCCGUAACCGCGAGGAUCGGCCUAGGGCAAAACUGGUAACUGGGGCUAAGUCGUAACAAGGUAGC
rnacentral:rRNA from 1 species